AUAUUUACAUUACAUGAUUGUGUUUAUAUAUACACAUAUAUAUGAUAAGACUUUGUUUUGUGGCUAACCUUAGUUUUGAUUUCUCAGCCUUCAUUUUUGGGUGAGAAUGGCAAUCUCUUCCUUCUGCUUCAGAGUGAUAAUGCUGUUUCUCACCUUUUCAGAUUUGUUUAUGCAAAGCUAUGGUUUGGAUUUUGGAAUAAACUAUGGACAAAUAGCAAACAAUUUACCAUCUCAUUCACGUGUAGCAGUUCUUAUAAAAUCAUUGAAUGUGAGCAGAAUCAAACUCUAUGAUGCUGAUCCAAAUGUUCUAACAACAUUCUCAAAUUCAAAUGUUGAAUUCAUGAUAGGACUUAAUGAUCUUCAAAGUAUGAAAGACCCUAUUAAGGCACAAUCAUGGGUUCAACAAAAUGUUCAACCUUACCUUCCACAAACCAAAAUCACUUCAAUUAAUGUAGGAAAUGAAGUAUUAGGUAACAAUGAUAUAAACAGUUAUAAUAACCUUCUUCCAGCAAUGAAAUCAGUGUAUAAUGCACUUGUUAAUCUUGGAUUAUCUCAACAAGUUACUGUCACAACUUCACAUUCUUUCAUCAUUAUGUCAAAUUCAUUCCCUCCUUCAUCUGGUGCAUUUAGAGAAGAUUUGAUACAAUAUAUUCAACCACUUCUUAGCUUUCAAGCGCAGAUCAAAUCGCCUUUUUUGAUCAAUGCUUAUCCUUUUUUUGCAUACAAAGGUGAUCCACAACAUGUUUCAUUAAACUAUGUCUUGUUUCAACCAAAUGCUGGUUCUAUUGAUCCUGCUACAAAUUUGCAUUAUGAUAACAUGUUGUAUGCUCAAAUCGAUGCCGUUUAUGCUGCUAUAAAGGCGGUAGGGCAUAGCGAUAUCGAGGUUAAGAUUUCUGAGACAGGUUGGCCUUCUAAAGGUGAUCCGGAUGAGGUUGGAGCUUCACUACAGAAUGCAGAAAUUUAUCAUAGUAAUUUGUUGAAGAGGAUUGCGAUGAAACAAGGAACUCCUGCAAAACCUUCUAUUCCUAUUGAUAUUUAUGUUUUUGCACUUUUUAAUGAAGAUUUGAAGACUGGUCCUGCAUCAGAGAGAAACUAUGGUCUUUAUUAUCCUGAUGGUACUCCAGUUUAUAACCUUGGAUUGAAAAAUCAAGUCCCUCAAGGGGGUUAUUUUCCAGGAAUGAUUAUUGAAGGCAAAUCCAAUGCUUUGUCCAUCAAUUUUGUUCUCUAUAUUCUUACAUUCUUGGUGUUUGUUUGGGAGCUUUCAAUAUUGUGAUGAGAGAAGAAAAUGAUUGCUAUGAAAUUUCAAAUGGAUCAUUCUUUACAGGAGGGACUACUUGGACUUGGAGGGAGACAAAAGAAAAGAAGCAGAUCUUUUUAUUUCGAAAGCAGGUCCUGCACUUUUUGUACACAUUGGGGAAACUUUCGGUGCUUAGUUUGUAUAAUAGCUUCUUUUUUACCAAAACUAUUCAUAUAAUUUUGAUAAAAAACAAUUCAUAUAAUUAUUAUUUAUUUCAGAAUUCAGCAAUAAUCAAAGGUAGAACCUAGAAAUUAGAUGUGUAAUAUGUAGUGCAAUAUUUAUUUUUAGAUCGAAAGUUGAUAUAUAGAAAGUAGAUUUUCUCUUCAAUUUAGAUAUAGAAAGAAAGAAAAGAAGGAUAGUGUUGUAUAUGUAGAAGAAAGUGUUGGGUUUGAGUCUGGGUCAGCAAUAUACCAAUAAAUUAUUAUUUGUAUUUUUCUAA